CGGAAUUCAUUUUCCACCUGGAACGGAAUAUCGUAUCAUGAACUCCGGGCGAAAAUUGUUUCACUUCUAACAAUUCGAACAUCAACAGCUGUUCUUACAAAAGCUGAUAUUUGCCAACAGUACGCAUAAUUAUACUAUAAAUAAGUUUUGAGAGUUUUUAUUAAUAUUGGAGUUAUAUUAAACAAAAAUGUUUCGCAUAGCUUAACGCUCACUAAUUGAAGAAAAUAGAGAAGUGGAAAAUGGUCAAAUCGAAAGAAUAAUUCGCCGGAACUUAAGAGAUCGCUCUAAUCCUCUGGAUUUACCAAAUGAAUUGUUUGUGCAGCACUAUAGGGUAAAUAAAUCCGUAUUUAUUUAUCUGUUAGAUGAGCUAAAGUUGGCAUUGCCAAAAGGCAGAAAAGCAUUUGCUAUCCCUAUGCAUAUAAAACUUGCGGCGUGCUUGAGGUUUUUUGCUGAAGGAGGGUACCAAAAAGGAAUUGCUCGGGAUAGAGGAUUUUCAUUGGGACAGUCUUCUUUCAGCAAGGUGUUGGCAGAGGUAUUGGACGCACUUCAACGUAAAUUGUGUCUAAAAUGGAUAAAAUGGCCUACACAUGAGGAGAGAAGAGAAAUUUCUCAACAUUUUUAUACGAAGUACAGGAUACCCGGGGUCAUUGGAUGUGUUGACGGGACAAAUGUUGGCAUUAUUGCUCCAGAACAAAAUAAGCAUUUAUAUUAUAACCGAAAAGGAUUUUACAGUUUAAACGUCAUGAUCGUAUGUGACGAUGAACAAAGAAUUCGGUGCAUAGAUGCCAAGCAUCCCGGAU